CCCUCUCCUUCUCUCUUGCCAAAAUGAAUUACUUGAUUUGUUUUCAAUUAAAAAAUCUCCUCUAUUUUCUUUUUCCAGUUCUCCUUCAUAUUGAAAUUCCCUCCAUCUACUUCCCUUUCCCGUUUCUCCUUCACACAGACAGAAGAACAAUGUGUUGUGUGUGAGUUUCGUUUGGCCUCUGCCAAUUUCAUCUUCUUCUUCUUGAGCAUUUUUUGAUGUUCUCCUCGGGAAUCUGAACUCAUGCUACUUGGGCUUCUCAUUACCUAUCUUCUCUGUUGUACCGUGUGACCGUGUACUUAAGGAAAGGCAACAGGAGGAAAAUAAACUUGAGACAGAGAACCUACCAAAGCCAAGGCAAAACCUGCUGACAAAGAAGUGAUUGAGAAAGAGAAUGAAGUUAGCGUCAGUUUUCUUAAUAUUCAAGUUGGGUUAAUUCGCAAAUCAUGGAAGCAUCCAUCUGCAGAUAGUUUGCUAGUUGAGGAGGACAAAGUGCGGCAGGUUAUUAGUGGGGUUUGGCAAAGUACUGCAAUCCUGAUGAGUUGACGAAUCGUUGUGUUGUACUUAUAACAAAUGUCAAACCUGGAAAACUACGGGAUGUGAUGUCUCAAGGAUUGGUCUUAUGUGCUUCGAAUGAAGGUCCAACCAUUGUAGAGCCCUUGCUUCUCCACAAGGAUCACAAAUUGGGGAGGUAUUUCUUUUUCUGGGAUUGACGGAAAGCCAGAAGAUGUACUAAACCCAAAAAAGAAAUAGCCAAAUAAGAUUACACCGGUAUUUUCUUUGCACUCGUUGCAUUUUUAAAAUUCAUAACUCUUGUUUUGUUUAAGGGUGAAGAUUUAACAUUCAACAUGAGUCUAAAGGUGGGGAACAUGAGUUUAGUGGUUGCAUUGGAACAGUAUAUCAGCUUCUUUUGGAUAAAGUUCCUGGAUGGAUGAAAGAUAUUUUUUUUGUGAGUUUGUAUUGUUAAGGCAUAGUGUUUUGUUAUCUUUUGAAGAUCAAUUCUCAUUGUAGUUUAACUAGUAAGUUUUUUUCUUUUCUUUUAGCCUAUUCUUAUUUUUUCUCUUGUUAAAAAUCAUAUUAAUGUUAUAUGGUGCAAUUUAUGGCUUUAGGAGUGUACAAAUAGUUGUUAGGGGUAAUUGUAAAAUUUUCAAUUUUUAUUAUUUUUAAAUAAUGUGAUUAUUGUUGAGAUUAUUAAA